rnacentral:lncRNA from 1 species
UCCCCUUUUGUUUUCUUUGUGCCGAUUUUCGCAAAUGACCUUGGGAACCUCUCAGGUUUGUUCAUCUACCUUUUCCUACUUUUCCUUUAUUUCUUUUUUGAUUGGGGUGGCCAAAUAGAUUUUGCAUCCUCUCUACCAAAUGCUUUUUCCUCUUUCUUCUUCCUUUUGUGCCGAAUCUUCUCUUCUUAUCUCUUCUUUUCCUCUCAAUUUGUGUGUUACAAGUAUUCUCGACUACGGGUAAGUGCUAUGCUCU